CUACGUGCCAGCAGCCGCGGUAAUACGUAGGGUGCGAGCGUUAAUCGGAAUUACUGGGCGUAAAGCGGGCGCAGACGGUUACUUAAGCAGGAUGUGAAAUCCCCGGGCUCAACCUGGGAACUGCGUUCUGAACUGGGUGACUAGAGUGUGUCAGAGGGAGGUAGAAUUCCACGUGUAGCAGUGAAAUGCGUAGAGAUGUGGAGGAAUACCGAUGGCGAAGGCAGCCUCCUGGGAUAACACUGACGCUCAUGUGCGAAAGCGUGGGGAGCAAACAGGAUUAGAUACCCUGGUAGUCCACGCUGUAAACGAUGUCGAUUUGGGGGUUGAACUUUGAGUUUGGCGCCCGUAGCUAACGUGAUAAAUCGACCGCCUGGGGAGUACGGCCGCAAGGUUAAAACUCAAAUGAAUUGACGGGGGCCCGCACAAGCGGUGGAGCAUGUGGUUUAAUUCGAUGCAACGCGAAGAACCUUACCUACUCUUGACA
rnacentral:rRNA from 1 species